rnacentral:rRNA from 1 species
GCUUCGGCGGGCCCGCCAUUCAUGGCCGCCGGGGGCUCUCAGUCCCCGGGCCCGCGCCCGCCGGAGACACCACGAACUCUGUCUGAUCUAGUGAAGUCUGAGUUGAUUGUAUCGCAAUCAGCUUAAAACUUUCAACAAUGGAUCUCUGGUUCCGGCAUCGAUGAAGAACGCAGCGGAAAUGCGAUAACUAGUGUGAAUUGCAGAAUUCCGUGAAUCAUCGAGUCUUUGAACGCACAUUGCGCCCCCUGGUAUUCCGGGGGGCAUGCCUGUCCGAGCGUCAUUGCUGCCCAUCAAGCACGGCUUGUUGUGUUGGGUCGUCGUCCCCUCUCCGGGGGGGACGGGCCCCAAAGGCAGCGGCGGCACCGCGUCCGAUCCUCGAGCGUAUGGGGCUUGUCACCCGCUCUGUAGGCCCGGCCGGCGCUGCCGCACGCA